rnacentral:rRNA from 1 species
GAUGAACGCUGGCGGUGUGCCUAAUACAUGCAAGUCGAGCGGCAGCACGGUCUUCGGACUGGUGGCGAGCGGCGGACGGCAGAGUAACGCGUAGGAACGUGCCCCAAAGUGAGGGAUAGCCCACCGAAAGGUGGAUUAAUACCGCAUAUGAUCUUCGGACUAAAGUAUUUAUACGCUUUGGGAGCGGCCUGCGUACGAUUAGAUUGUUGGUGAGGUAAAGGCUCACCAAGUCGACGAUCGUUAGCUGGUCUGAGAGGAUGAUCAGCCAGACUGGGACUGAGACACGGCCCAGACUCCUACGGGAGGCAGCAGUAAGGAAUCUUCCACAAUGGGCGAAAGCCUGAUGGAGCAACACCGCGUGAAGGAUGAAGGCCCUCGGGUCGUAAACUUCUUUUAUGAGCGAAGAAUAUGACGGUAACUCAUGAAUAAGGGUCGGCUAACUACGUGCCAGCAGCCGCCGUAA